GCUCCCCUCCGUUAGCAAUCUCUCCCAAUUUACUGAUCCCAGCAAGAGGAAUAAGGCGUAAAACAUUUUUCCUUGCAGGAAGAAGAAAUCCCUGAAUUAGAAAUAGAUGUGGAUGAACUGUUGGACAUGGAGAGCGACGAAUCGCGGAGCGCCAGGGUGAAGGAACUUCUGGUCGAUUGCUACAAGCCCACAGAGGUUUUCGUGGCCGACUUGCUAGACAAGAUCCGAGGGAUGCAGAAACUAAGCACCCCGCAGAAGAAGUGACCUCCGGAGUUGUGGGCGGCCGUGCUGCGUGGCCCCAGCCAUUCGGGGCCCGUGUGUCGCUGAAAUGUGGGCAGUGCUGGGUUUCAGGGAAGGGGGGGGCGCUUUCACAGGGCUGAGGAGGGGGGAAGGAAUCGGUUGGUUUCCCCUCCCCUCCCGAACCAUCACAAAAAGAGGAAGAUUUGGGGGGGGGGGAUGCUCUGAUAAUCAGAAUAAUUUGAUCGCCUUUUAGCAAUAUCUCUCUGCAGCUGCCUCCCCCCGUCCCUGUUCCCCGCCCCCCCCCCAAAAAAAUCUGUCCUGGCUCCGUGCCAGUGUGUUUGUGUGUGCAAAGGGUGGGUGGGUGGGCAUUUGUUCUCAAAGAGGAGGGAGGGAAGAAAGAGAGUAGGAUCUUAAAAUGAGAUUCGGACUGGGCAGGGAGGGGAAAGUAUCUGGAUUUGUG